rnacentral:rRNA from 1 species
AUUGAACGCUGGCGGCAGGCUUAACACAUGCAAGUCGAGCGGAGAGAGGUAGCUUGCUACUGAUCUUAGCGGCGGACGGGUGAGUAAUGCUUAGGAAUCUACCUAUUAGUGGGGGACAACAUUUCGAAAGGAAUGCUAAUACCGCAUACGUCCUACGGGAGAAAGCAGGGGAUCUUCGGACCUUGCGCUAAUAGAUGAGCCUAAGUCGGAUUAGCUAGUUGGUGGGGUAAAGGCCUACCAAGGCGACGAUCUGUAGCGGGUCUGAGAGGAUGAUCCGCCACACUGGGACUGAGACACGGCCCAGACUCCUACGGGAGGCAGCAGUGGGGAAUAUUGGACAAUGGGCGCAAGCCUGAUCCAGCCAUGCCGCGUGUGUGAAGAAGGCCUUAUGGUUGUAAACUCCUGUCGACUGGGAAGAAUGCACCUGACCUAAUACGUCAAAGUGUUGACUGUACCGGUGGAGGAAGCCACGGCUAACUCUGUGCCAGCAGCCGCAGUAAAAC